GAAAAACCUGUUGGAAACAUGAAAAUAGCGGGGUCAACAGGCAGAGGAGCAUCAAAAACCUACGUUUAUAUGCCUGCGUGCGUGUAGGAGAGAAGGUGGCAAUGCUAGAGGGGGAAGGGAAGAAAGAAGAGAGGAGAAACACAGAGGACGAGAAGGAAAGUGAAGGGGGGGCUACACCGGGGGAAUGGGAGGGUUUGGGAAGGCGGAUAGGCUGACACCAGGAGUGAGCAGAACGAGGGGGGAGAGCGAAUGAGGAGGCAGACAGGCUCCCAGGGUGAUUUGAGAGUUGCCAGGAGAGGAAGGCCAUUUGGCAAGAAUCCUGACAGACAAAAGCUGGAGGAGGGUAGAGCAAGAUGGCAGAAUAGAAAGCUCCACCGAUCAUACUCUGCCCCCACAAGGACACCAAGUUAAUUACCUACACAGAAGAAAUACCUUCAUAAGAACCAAAAAUCAGGUUCUACCUCCCAGAUGACAUUUCUAGACAUACCCUGGGCCAGAAGAGAACCCACUUCCUUGAAGGAAAGGAUCCAGUCCUGGCAGCAUUCAUCGCCUGCUAACUGAAGAUCCCUUGGGCCUUGAAUAACCAGCAGCAAUACCCAGGCAGAUCUUCAUGGGAAGCCAAAUUAUAAUCAGAAUAUUGUUCAUACCAUAGAAUUAAGACAAG